rnacentral:rRNA from 1 species
GCCGGACUUGACAAGGAGUGGAGCCUGCAGUUUAAUUUGACUCAACACGGGAAAACUCACCCGGCCAGGACACAAUAAGGAUUGACAGAUUGAUAGCUCUUUCUUGAUUUUGUGGGUGGUGGUGCAUGGCCGUUCUUAGUUGGUGGAGCGAUUUGUCUGGUUAAUUCCGAUAACGAACGAGACUCUAGCCUAUUAAAUAGACUGUAUAUCAUUAGUAUAUCGAGCUUCUUAGAGGGACAGGCAGCUUCUAGCUGCACGAGAUUGAGCAAUAACAGGUCUGUGAUGCCCUUAGAUGUCCGGGGCUGCACGCGCGCUACAAUGAUAAUAGCAAAGUGCAUUAAAACCUUUUCUGGUAAGAAUUGGUAAACACGAAACAUUGUCGUGCUUGGAAUCGGGGAUUGAAAUUAUUGCCCUUAAACGAGGAAUUCCUAGUAAGUGCAGGUCAUCAGCUUGUGCUGAUUACGUCCCUGCCCCUUU